AACGAACGCUGGCGGCAGGCUUAACACAUGCAAGUCGAACGCUCGUAGCAAUACGGGAGUGGCGGACGGGUGAGUAACGCGUGGGAACGUGCCCUGAGGUACGGAAUAACUGAGGGAAACUUCAGCUAAUACCGUAUGAGCCCCGAGAGGGGGAAAGAUUUAUCGCCUUGGGAGCGGCCCGCGUCGGAUUAGCUAGUUGGUGGGGUAACGGCCUACCAAGGCUUCGAUCCGUAGCUGGUCUGAGAGGACGAUCAGCCACACUGGGACUGAGACACGGCCCAGACUCCUACGGGAGGCAGCAGUGGGGAAUCUUGCGCAAUGGGGGCAACCCUGACGCAGCCAUGCCGCGUGAACGAUGAAGGCCUUAGGGUUGUAAAGUUCUUUUACCCGUGACGAUGAUGACGGUAACGGGGAAUAAGCUCCGGCUAACUCGUGCCAGCAGCCGCGGUAAU
rnacentral:rRNA from 1 species